rnacentral:rRNA from 1 species
GCCAUGCAUGUCUCAGUACUAACCGCUUUAAGGCGAAACCGCGAAUGGCUCAUUAAAUCAGUUAUGGUUCCUUGGAUCUUACACACACUUACAUGGAUAACUGUGGUAAUUCUAGAGCUAAUACAUGAAACUCGUGCCCUGACCAGUGAUGGAAUGGGUGCUUUUAUUAGAACAAAACCAAUCGGUCGGUCUUCCGUCCGUUGCCUUGGUGACUCUGAAUAACUUUUCGCUGAUCGCACGGUCCCAGCACCGGCGACGCAUCUUUCAAAUGUCUGCCUUAUCAACUUUCGAUGGUAGGUUCUGCGCCUACCAUGGUUGUAACGGGUGACGGGGAAUCAGGGUUCGAUCCCGGAGAGGGAGCCUGAGAAACGGCUACCACAUCCAAGGAAGGCAGCAGGCGCGCAAAUUACCCACUCCCGGAACGGGGAGGUAGUGACGAAAAAUAACGAUACGGGACUCAUCCGAGGCCCCGUAAUCGGAAUGAGAACACUUUAAAUCCUUUAACGAGGAUCUAUUGGAGGGCAAGUCUGGUGCCAGCAGCCGCGGUAAUUCCAGCUCCAAUAGCGUAUAUUAAAGUUGUUGCGGUUAAAAAGCUCGUAGUCGGAGGUGUGUCUCGGACGGUCGGUUCGCCGCUUGUCGGUGCUCAACUGGCCGAGUCCGGGACGUCCUGCCGGUGGGGCUGUAAAAGGCCCCGUUAUCCUUCUUUGGUCCUCUUCACCGAGUGCCUUGGUGGGCCGGCACGUUUACUUUGAACAAAUUAGAGUGCUCAAAGCAGGCCGUUGGUCGCCUGAAUACCGUGUGCAUGGAAUAAUGGAAUAGGACCUCGGUUCCAUUUUGUUGGUUUUCAGAACUCGAGGUAAUGAUUAAUAGGGACGGACGGGGGCAUUCGUAUUGCGACGUUAGAGGUGAAAU